GUCUACAGCCAUACCACGCUGAAGGUGCCCAAUCUCGUCUGAUCUCAGAAGCUAAGCAGAGUCGGGCCUGGUUAGUUGGAUGGGAGAGAGAACAAAAACUCAACUAACAGUGGAUA
rnacentral:rRNA from 1 species